rnacentral:tRNA from 1 species
UCCUUAAUGGUCUAGUGGCUAGGAUCCCGGGCUUUCACUGCCAUGGCCCAGGUUAAACCCCUGGUUAAGGAA